rnacentral:rRNA from 1 species
AAAAUACGACUCUCGGCAACGGAUAUCUCGGCUCUCGCAUCGAUGAAGAACGUAGCGAAAUGCGAUACUUGGUGUGAAUUGCAGAAUCCCGUGAACCAUCGAGUCUUUGAACGCAAGUUGCGCCCGAAGCCGUCAGGCUGAGGGCACGUCUGCCUGGGCGUCACG